rnacentral:rRNA from 1 species
GGAGCSSUGCAAGCGUUAAUCGGAAUUACUGGGCGUAAAGCGCACGCAGGCGGUUGGAUAAGUUAGAUGUGAAAGCCCCGGGCUCAACCUGGGAAUUGCAUUUAAAACUGUCCAGCUAGAGUCUUGUAGAGGGGGGUAGAAUUCCAGGUGUAGCGGUGAAAUGCGUAGAGAUCUGGAGGAAUACCGGUGGCGAAGGCGGCCCCCUGGACGAAGACUGACGCUCAGGUGCGAAAGCGUGGGGAGCAAACAGGAUUAGAUACCCUGGUAGUCCACGCCGUAAACGAUGUCGAUUUGGAGGCUGUGUCCUUGAGACGUGGCUUCCGGAGCUAACGCGUUAAAUCGACCGCCUGGGGAGUACGGCCGCAAGGUUA